rnacentral:rRNA from 1 species
GCUCAAGAAAAGGAUCUGAGUCCUUCCCUAAGCCUUCUAAUAACAAAUACUAUUCUUCUAGGCUUAAGAGACAUUCAAAUAAGGGACAGCCUAUUUGAAACAGGAAACAACCUCGAAUAUAGGGUAACUUUACUCUCCGGUGACAAGUGGGCCUAAGAGCAGCCACCUUCUAAAAAGCGUUAUAGCUUGCCACNNCCCCUCACAAUAAUCCCAAAAACAACACCAAACCCUCAAACAAUAUUGAGUGACUCUAUACACAUAUAGAAAACCCAAUGCUAAAACUAGUAACUGGAAGAAAUUCUUCUCCAAAAUGUAAACAUAAGCCNNNNACACGGCAUCCACCGCUAUGAGCUAAGAGUACGCAACACCCAAGAAAAGCCUACUACACCACAGCGUUAAUCUAACCCCAGGACAUUUCAGGAAAGAUUAAAUAAAGAGGAAGGAACUCGGCAAACCACUAACCCCGCCUGUUUACCAAAAACACCGCCUUUUGAAAAAAUAUAAGAGGUCCAGCCUGCCCAGUGACAAAGUUAAACGGCCGCGGUACCCUAACCGUGCAAAGGUAGCACAAUCACUUGUUCUUUAAAUGAGGACUAGUAUGAACGGCAUCACGAGGAUUAUGCUGUCUCCCCCCUUUAAUCAGUGAAACUGAUCCCCCCGUGAAGAAGCGGGGAUAAACUUAUAAGACGAGAAGACCCUGUGGAGCUUUAAACUUAUACCACCCACUUCAAAACAUAUCAUAACAAACAAAUGGGCNUGUGUACUAGUUUUAGGUUGGGGCGACCGCGGAGUAAAACGAAACCUCCACGAUGAAAGACUUUACUUUCUAAUCCGAGAGCAACACCUCAAAGAAUCAACAAACUGACAUAAUUGACCCAAAUNCUUUGAUCAACGAACCAAGUUACCCCAGGGAUAACAGCGCAAUCCAUUUCAAGAGCUCAUAUCGACAAAUGGGUUUACGACCUCGAUGUUGGAUCAGGGUAUCCCAGUGGUGCAGCCGCUACUAAAGGUUCGUUUGUUCAACGAUUAA